rnacentral:lncRNA from 1 species
CUCUAAACUGAGAGUCUUGUUUCAGUCGGUCUCCGUCCACUUGAUUAGAGGAAGACCCAUCAGUACACUUGUCUCUCCGUGUGCUUCAUACCGCAUGUGUCUGUUCUAAACGCUGCACCAUAAAGGAAAUAGGGUGCUGUUUAGGACGUGGGCUGAAACUACUUCCAUCCCCAAGUCUUCUGGAUCAGGGAUAGACGCCAUGAUAGUAGUCCAUGGGUAACACAGUUCACCAGUCCGCCGGGAGAAUAUCUAGAAGUUCAGAAGCAAGCGUUUCUUAUUGAACGAGUUCGGGUAAUCGCUCUCUGUUUCAGUUUGUUUUCUUUCCGUUUGGUGUGUCCCGAAUGAACACACCCAGGCCUCUCUGUCUGUCUGUGCAGUCCUAGACUGUUGGGGGGGGUUGGUUUAGUUGUGGAAUCCGUUGUGUUGGACGGUGAGGAACUGUAGACGGAGACUCUGAAUGCUGCUCACCAUCCUCCUCUGGUGGCCAAUCAGAGACACACCGAUACGCCUGAUGUCCCUGAGGACAAGAGAUACAGACACUAUAUGAGUCAGGUUAACUGUUUAGAGGAGAUACAGACACUAUAUGAGUCAGGUUAACUGUUUAGAGGAGAUACAGUCACUAUAUGAGUUAGGUUAACUGUUUAGAGGAGAUACAGACACUAUAUGAGUCAGGUUAACUGUUUAGAGGAGAUACAGACACUAUAUGAGUCAGGUUAACUGUUGGUGAGGGUCUGGGCAGGGUGAUGUUGGUGAGGGGCUGGGCAGCGUGAUGUUGGUGAGGGGCUGGGCAGGGUGAUUUUGGUGAGGG